UACGUAGGGGGCAAGCGUUAUCCGGAUUUACUGGGUGUAAAGGGUGCGUAGACGGUUAGACAAGUCUGAAGUGAAAUGCAUGGGCUCAACUCAUGAACUGCUUUGGAAACUGCCUAACUGGAGUACAGGAGGGGUAAGCGGAAUUCCUGGUGUAGCGGUGAAAUGCUUAGAUAUCAGGAGGGACACCGGCGGGGAAGGCGGCUUACUGGACUGUAACUGACGUUGAGGCACGAAAGCGUGGAGAGCAAAC
rnacentral:rRNA from 1 species